AUCCGUCAGCACAACCCCCCCCCCCCCCCCGCGCUGUGUGUGCCCGUCCAUCAGCAACCCCCCUCUUUCUCCUGCACUGUGCGCCCGUCCAUCAUCACACACCCCCUCACCUUCACCAGCAUUGUGCCCGGCCUCCGCUCCCACGUCUGCGCCGGCCUGACGUCACACCGUAUGGCCGCGCAGGAGGACGUCAGUUACGUCACUCGCACGGCGCCCGGUGAGAAGGAGCGCUGCGCUGGAUGGAGGAUGAGAAUGCGCUGACAUAGUGAGGAGACGUGUGGGCAUCACAUUCUGCAGAGAGAAGUUUUAGCUGGAACAAGUCCUGGCGUAAAGCUCACUGAACUGUCUCUGCCAUCUAAAGUCACAGCUGCCUGGACCUCUCCAGAUUUGGACAAUAUUCUCCACAGGUCAACAACUUCCUGUGUUUCGGGAGCCGUUAAACGUAUGGUUGCCACAAAGACGUAGGAGGGAGGGAGGCCUUCCGGAAAUAUUUCUCUGUAAAGCAAAUACCAGUAUUUAAUGGCUAAACACCACUCCUAGAAAUAAGCACUCAUCUAUAAAUACAGAAUUGGUGAUACUAAAAUAUUGCUUCCUUUAUUUAUAUAGUUACCCCUUUAUUUAUUUUAAAGUCAUUUCUACCAUUAUAGGGUUGUGACAUUUGCCUGUAUGUAUUAAAGCACCAGAGAACAUUAA